rnacentral:rRNA from 1 species
CCUACGGGUGACAGCAGUGAGGAAUAUUGGUCAAUGGCCGGAAGGCUGAACCAGCCAUGCCGCGUGAAGGUCAGUGCCCUAUGGGCGUUAAACUUCUUUUGUGCGGGAGCAAUAAUGGUCACGUGUGGCCAGACGAGAGUACCGUACGAAUAAGCAUCGGCUAACUCCGUGCCAGCAGCCGCGGUAAUACGGGGGAUGCAAGCGUUAUCCGGAUUUAUUGGGUUUAAAGGGUGCGUAGGCUGUGAGGUAAGUCAGCGGUGAAAUGCCCCCGCUCAACGGGGUGAAGUGCCAUUGAUACUGCCUGGCUGGAAUGCGGAUGCCGUGGGAGGAAUGUGUGGGGUAGCGGUGAAAUGCAUAGAUAUCACACAGAACACCGAUUGCGAAGGCAUCUCACGAAUCCGCGAUUGACGCUGAUGCACGAAAGCGUGGGUAUCAAACAGGAUUAGAUACCCGAGUAGUC